GGCCGUUCUAUCGCUUGGUUACAUAAAAUGGACUGAGAGGAAAGUCCGGGCAGCACGAGCCACCAUGCUUCCUAACGGGAAGGCACGCUGUUAAUGCGUUAAUGUGUUAAUGGGGUGACAGCAAGCGCCACAGAAAACAAACCGCCUUUCUUCUGGAAGGGCAAGGGUGAAAACGCGGGGUAAGAGCCCACGACGUGUCGCGGUGACGCGCACGAUGGCAAGCCUCAUGGGCUGAAAGACCAUGUAAACCAACCGGUCUGACGACCGUGGGUAGGCUCGCCCAUAAAAACGGUGUUGUCAGCUGGGCUGACACCCGUCCAAGGUUGGAGGGUAGGUUGAUUGAGACCGUCGGUGACGGCGGUUCCAGAUUGAUGAUAGAACACGACAGAACCCGGCUUACAGACUUUC
rnacentral:RNase_P_RNA from 1 species